GAUGAACGCUGGCGGCGUGCUUAACACAUGCAAGUCGAACGGUGAACACGGAGCUUGCUCUGUGGGAUCAGUGGCGAACGGGUGAGUAACACGUGAGCAACCUGCCCCUGACUCUGGGAUAAGCGCUGGAAACGGCGUCUAAUACUGGAUAUGUGACGUAAUCGCAUGGUCUGCGUCUGGAAAGAAUUUCGGUUGGGGAUGGGCUCGCGGCCUAUCAGCUUGUUGGUGAGGUAAUGGCUCACCAAGGCGUCGACGGGUAGCCGGCCUGAGAGGGUGACCGGCCACACUGGGACUGAGACACGGCCCAGACUCCUACGGGAGGCAGCAGUGGGGAAUAUUGCACAAUGGGCGCAAGCCUGAUGCAGCAACGCCGCGUGAGGGAUGACGGCCUUCGGGUUGUAAACCUCUUUUAGCAGGGAAGAAGCGAAAGUGACGGUACCUGCAGAAAAAGCGCCGGCUAACUACGUG
rnacentral:rRNA from 1 species